rnacentral:lncRNA from 1 species
UCUUCGAUUUCUCGCGGGCUGACCUCUUCAGCUGCUGGGGCGUUGGCUGCCAUCAGGAUGCUUCGAUGUCUGCUGCGCUGUGAUCCAUGGACCCUGAUUGGAAGUGAGCAGUACAACCCUGCAGCCCAAAGUAUGGCUACCUCAAGGUCAGUGCAGGCGGUUCAUGAUUAAAAAGCACGUAAUGUAUUUUCCCUGGUACACUCAUGGCUGCAGCAGUACUUCAUACGUCCCGUCAGCUUUCCUCGCCAGCAAACGCUUGCAGGCAUUCACUGUCUGGUAGCAGCGAAACUAUGUCACAGAAGUAGCACCUGAUCGUUGGAAAUAAUUUUUGGUUUGACGAUGACUAGAUCGUCGCAACGGUAUGGCCGAGCCAGGCGUACAACAGCUUGUAUACAACCCCAUGCCUUUGGCCAUGCCCAUCAGGUCUUUGGCUGACAGUCCUUUUAGAGAUCACGAUGUACACAAAGUCAAGCCUUCACAUUCGACAAUUCUAAGUACUUCAGAGCAUUGAAGAACUCUGACGCCGCUCUUACAGACUCGUCUGAACACUUGGAAGGCUCCCUAAGGCGUGCAGCAGAGUGUUCAAUGCUUGCAGGCAUGCAGCAAGAAGAAAGUAAACCUCGCCUCCGUUAAUUGAAAGGAUGAAUCUUGAUUGGAAAGAAUUCUUGAGCAUGGAUGCAAG